UACGGGGGGGGGCAAGCGUUGUUCGGAAUUACUGGGCGUAAAGGGCUCGUAGGUGGCCAACUAAGUCAUGCGUGAAAUCCCUCGGCUUAACCGGGGAACUGCCUUUGAUACUGAAGAUCUUGAGUUCGGGAGAGGUGAGUGGAACUGCGAGUGUAGAGGUGAAAUUCGUAGAUAUUCGCAAGAACACCAGUGGCGAAGGCGGCUCACUGGCCCGAUACUGACGCUGAGGCACGAAAGCGUGGGGAGCAAACAGG
rnacentral:rRNA from 1 species